rnacentral:lncRNA from 1 species
AAAAUUAUAAGUGAACUAACAGCACUUUCACUGCCUCCGUGAUCUGAUACUCUAAAAACCAUCUUCACAAUAACAUUUACACCAUCUGGAAUAUUUACCACUUCCUCUUUUGCACUUCUAAAUACCAAAAGUUUCUCAAUUGCUGCCAUUGCUUCUCGUGCAGAGCUUCUUUCUCUUUGUUGAGCAUUAGAAAUGUAUGAAAUAAGUCCAGUAACUGCACCUUCCACAACCAAAUUGUUGAUGUUUUGUUCCAAGUUACUUAGUGAACAUAUGGCUUUGGUUGCUGCAUCAGAUGCCUCUGAGUUGUGGUGUAGAAGUUGCACGAUUUCUCGUAAAAGCUCGGUUGUGUUUCCGAGUAAAACACUAAGAUCUUUAGUCUCAACUGAAGAUGAAAUUGCCUGAACCAAAUGACACAAACUGAUCUUGAUCAUGGAAGUGCCAUUACUGAACAAAACCAUGAACCGUGAUAGUUUUGACUCAUCCAUUAGCACAUUUAGGGACUGUAUCUGUUCAAGAGAAACCAUAGCAACCAUAAAACUAAGCGCUUGCUCUACAAAUUCCUGAUAUUCUUGUGAUAGUUUGGUUUCUUCUUGCCCAAAAAUCAACUCCAAAAGCACUGACAAGAACCCAAUUCGGAUCAAACAAGAAUUACGAGAAGGAAACUCUUCACAUAAAAUUCUAACUCUUUGAAGAACUUGUAGCUUGUAUUCAUAAGAAAACUCAUCAGAUUCAAGUUUGAUUCUCAAAGCAGCCAUAGAAUCAAUAGUAGAAACACAUUGAGGGUUUAUUUGGUCACUCAUCUGAAGCCACUGACAAAUCAAAUGACGAAGAGUAUUAUUAGGAACAAAAGAAGGAUCAUGAAGCUUCUGCAUUGUAACAGGACAUGUAAGAUUCCCUGAUGCCAACCAUUUCUCAAUGCUUGAUCUUUCAUAAGUUUGUCCUGUGCAAAGAGUGACAGGAUCCUUAAACAAAUCAAGACUUAUUGGACAUCUAAACAAGUGAGGGAUGGUCUCAUGAUCAUCAGCUUCUUUCAUGGAGAAGAAAAAGAAUAAAACUAAUUACAAAAACCAGAGAAAGAAGAGAGUGAGUACCCCCUAUUAGAAAUUUGGUAAAAAGAGAGAUGGAAAUGAAAUCUUUGAGAGAGGUGGAAUGAUAAAAAAGGAAGAUACGGUGGGAAAGUUUUCAAAAGAAAGAGAAAAAAGGGAGACCGAUUGAGUUCUUAAAGGCUUUUCUUUUCAAGUCACAAAAGAAGAACACAACAGUGUGAUAUUUGAGGAAAGGAAAAUGGAGACCCCAAAAGCUAAAAGGCAUAAAGAGAGAUGAAAAACAGGUAUAGAAAUUGGAAUCAGAUGGUAUAAAGGUGGAUUUAGAAAGCAAAAAAAGCUGAAGGAAAGAAAAGUAGGCAAAAUAUUAAGACUUAAACAGUGAGUUUCUAUGGGGGAAAAGUGUACUGAUUUUGGUCUGAGCUAAUGCUGUUUCACACUGGCAGAUAUAACGAAAAAAAAAGAUAAAAGAGUAUAGAUCAGAAGAGAGGGACAAAGUAGAGGUUAAUCCUAGUGAGAGAGAUGAACAAAGUAAAAUGAUAUGGAAGAAGUAUGAGAAAAAUUGGUCCCCAUUACUCUAAUAUAGAAUUCAGUCAAAGUGACCCACCAUCAAAUAAUAAUAAUUAUUAUUGUCUUUGAAGUUUGAAUCAACCCUCAUAAUAAGAAAAAAAAAUGGGGAAAAAAGGAGAAAAAUAAUGGGUCUAAUUCCCUGUGAUAGAGAGAGAGAGAGAGAGAGAGAGUUUUGACUAAGAAUUUUUCUUAUUCCUUGAGAUAUAGAUAGAGAGAGAGAGUUUGACUGUGAAAUGUUAAUGGUAAUCACAAUUAGAUUUUGAUGAGAAUUCUGAUCUCAAUUAUGAUUAUAAACACUCAUACCAAUCAUAUAAUGCAAAUCUAAACUGGAUAAUUCUCUAAUAUGUGUACUAAUAAAGGUGGCCUUUUUUUCCCCUAUGUUCAUACCUUUAAGAUCUUUCAAAAUUCAAACAAAAUUUGAAUUCUAAAUUUUAUAUAUUUUAAAAUUUUGGUUUUAUUUUUAGAAAUUGGAUAUGAGUUAAAAAGAAAAAAAAUAAACCCAAAAUUUAAAAAUAAAUAAUCGAAUAAUUAUCAAACGUAACCUACGAGAUCAUGUAAAUAUGUACUUAAUUACUUUAUUUGAAGUUGCAAUUACUUGCUUGAUCUAGGCCAUAAAUAUGACAUAGGAUGGUCUAACAAUAGCGAAUCUAUUUGAACAAUAAUCAUAUCAAUUAUUAAAAGUUGAAGCAGUUUACACAACAAAAUGGUAUAUUCUUUCCUAUAUAGACAUGAUUUAACGACUAUAGAUAUAAAACAGUGAAGAAAAGUCAGAAUAGAUGACUUUUACUCUUUAAAUUUUUAUUUUUUCUUUAUAAAACGUAGACCAACUCAAAUAUUUAACUAAAGGAAUAGUCAUUUAUUUGAAGGUUCUAAUUUUUUAAGAUAUAUUAAAAUGAAACUACAAAUUUCACCUACAUCCCAAACACAUGUAAUGAGCUAAUAUACAUAAAACAGAAAGAGAAAAAUCAAUUGACUCUCCCACUUUGAAUCGCAAUUAUUUAUUUUUGAUUCAUUUCUAUUUUCAUUUAGAAGUUGAAAAUUAUUUACAUAAAAUUAUUCUUAAAAAAUAUCACAAAAUCUCUCUAAACAAGUAAAUAAAAGUAGAGAAGGAUUAGCAAGUGAAAAGUUACUCAAAUUUGAUGAAAAUCACUCCUAUAUCUAUUUAGAUCCACGACUUUAAAACAAAAUUUUAAAUAAGAGUCUAAAUAAGUUAACUUAAUUAAAUUGAUAGAUAUAUAACAAUGGGUAAUUAGUAUAAAGUUAAAAAAGUUUUAAUUAAACUAAUACAAAGUCAAAAUUUAAAAGUAUAGAUUAAAUUUUGUAGUCCCUCUAGAAGUGAUGUUAAAUGCGCAACAUCAUUCAAGUAAUUAAUCCACUUAGAAUCCAUAGUUUUUGUUGAGUAGAGAAGUCUUCAACAAUGGAAUUCCAUCACAAACUAAGAACCUUUUUUGUAACAAAAAGAGGCCAAAUUUAAUUUGUUCACGUAAAGUGUUACAAAAAAAAGUCACUCAAUUUUAUAUUAUAAAUAAAAAGAAAGAAUGGAAACUACCAAAUUAUGGAUUAUACCUGAUUAUGGAUUCAAAUAAAACUUUGUCUCAUAUAUAUAUAAAACUUAUAGCUUAGCUUAUAAGUUUACUUUAGAAAGACUUCCACAUUUUGCUUCCAAACCGUCUUUAAAGUUGAGGGACCUAAUAUUCAUUAUACAAAAUUAAAAGUCAUGAUAUGUAAAUAAUUAAUAAGGUCGUAGUUGUACAAUCUAUAAAACAUAUGUCAUAUUUGAAUAAUUAAACGGUCAAAGAUCGAGGAUGAUAAUGAUGACGAACUAAGUUGAUUCAAUGAACAUGAUACUUUUAUAUGUAUAUUCAUGUUAAUAUGAUGAAAAUUGUUGACAUGAACAAUAUUUGAAAUGUAAGAUAUUUAUGAUUUAGACUAGUUAACAAUGAAAUGAUGAAAAAGAGAAGGAUUAUAAGUUUUGAAACGUUACAAAAACGUUGGUUGAGUUAGGUCAUAUUUUGAAUAGUGUUGAAAGGAUGAUGUUUAAGAUUGAAUGCAUGCACACCCACCAUAUUUAUUUGAAGUGUGCCGGCCAAAGGCAUCAUCACAAAAACACAAAUUAAUUCUAUCAACACUUUGACUUUUUGACUCUCAUUAUAUACACCAAACUUCCCCACCUCAUGACUUCCUAAUGUUUAGUCUAUUUUUUCCAAUAGUGUGUUAUGGGGAUGAUCCAUUGCCCAUUAUGAACGAAGGGGUGAUUCCAAAUUCUCUCCAUAGUCCCACUUUUAUCAUACGACUUUCAAACGUGGAUCAAACUUUAGGUAUUUGUGUAAUGAUGUCAACCAUAUAUCGUGUCAUUUCAUUGAGGUUUUAAGUCUUAUUUGUAGUCGUUUGUCAAAAUUCUAGAAGCUUUUUUGUGACGGUAUUGUGUGAUUAUAUUAUAACAUCUAGAGGUAUAAUAAUUUGUGUUUGAAGUCAAGCAUAUAGAUACAUACACAAACAACUUCUCUAACUUCAUAAUAUUGGACAAAAGUAUAUAUCUAAAAGUGGUAUUUGCAAAGUAUAUAGAGAACAACCCACUAAUGAUACAAAAAGUAUUUUCAAAUUAGACGAUAAGAGUUCAAGAUGAAGGAAUCAUCAAAGUACGUUUAUCGAGAUCAAAAAACUUACGAUAUACUAAAAUAAUUUCUUAUAUAUAUAUAACAUGAGUGGAAAAUGUAUAAAUCGUUAGAAAAAUUUCUCAUUUUAUUCUCUAAUAUUAUGCAUAGUUUUUUGUUUUAAGCUUUGUGAAGACCCAUAAAAUGUAUUACAUAUACUUAAACACAUGGUUGGAUUGACAAAAAAAAAAAGAUGUUUUAAAUAAAUCAUUUUCAUCCAAACACUUUGUAUAACAACUUAGUUAUACUUAAUUACAUUCUUGAAGACAAAUUUGUUAAGUCUGACAUAAUCAAAGUGGAUGGUUGAUAUCUAUAGUUUCAAAAAGAAAAAUAAAUAGCAAAGAGAAAGUACUUGUGAAUUAAAUCAAAGCAAUGAGAAUGGUUAAUUAAGUAAACCAAUAUCCACAAAAGGUAAAAGACCAAGUUCAUUUCCCUUUCAAUGUUUACAAUAUUUUACACCCAAUUCUUUUAAUUUGAUAAAAAGGAAUUCAAAUGUCAAAAAGGAUAGUCAAGAAUAUUUUAGCUUUAAUGUUCCCUCAAGAUUAGGUAAGUUUGGCCAAAAGAUAUUGGAAGAGAGAGAGAGAGAGAGAGAUAUCCAAAGCCACAAAAAGACAAAUAAAUGAGCAAAAUACACAAACUAUUCAAAAUAAUAUUUUUUUAUUUUCUUCUUCUCUUUAAAAAUGAAGAAAAUGAACUUUGAACUUAAUCUUGUCGGCUUCUUCAAUACUUUAAUUUGAAAUUACAAUAUUAUUUCUUUUUAAAACAACUAUUAAUUAAUAAUCUUUUGUUAGAGACUUUUAUCUAAAGAAAAUAAAAUCUUUUAUUGGACUUUGUUACAUUCCUUACUUUGUACCCAACAAUUGUUUGAAGAUAAUAAACUAAUAGAAAUGUAAACAAAAAUUCUUACAUUGAUCCAAGAAAAAAGUGAUCGUGGAUAUAUAUAAGCAAUUAUUUGUAUUGAUAAGACUUCUACAUAUGGUCAUGAUUUGUGAAGUUGAAUGUAGGUAAGAAAAGGAAUGUAUAUAUAUAUUUCACAAGUUUUUUCCCUAGGUAGCCACUUUAGGUCAUUUUUAAAUGGGUACUAUUGGUAUAAAUUUUUAAGAUAUCGAUCCUUUAUUUUUUUAGUUUUAGUAUACAUUCAAGUUUUAAUUCCUUGAUCAAAGUGAGCUUAGUUUAACGGUAAUUGAUAUGACUUUCUAUUUUAGAGAUGUGAGACGUUCGAAUCUCUCAACCUUCAAUUGUUGUACUAAAAAAAGUUUCAAUUACUUGUAUAUAUUUCACCUCAAGCUUUAAUAAUUAUUUUUAUUCAUUUAGUAGUAAUUAAAACUUUAAAGGGAGAGAUUAUAAAAAGAAAAUUGAUAGGGAUUGAUUUAUUUUGAUGCAUUGUGAUAAAUUGAAUUAAUAUUUUUAUCGACGAAUUGUAAGUAACGCCCUCGAACAAAAUUUGUAGAUCCAACAACUGGCUCGAUUAUAGUCCCAUUUUGAAGUUAGGUUUCACGCAAUAACAUUUGCAUAUAUUCUAAUAUACUCCUCGUUGAAACUCAUGGAGAGAUAAUCAUUUUUACCUCAUGAUAUGCUCAUAUUUUCUUUGUCAACUCAUCAACGUGGAAUCCAUAUCUCUAUGCAUAUUGUAUAAUUAACUUACCAAUUAUACAUUUCAUUCUUCACACACACGCACACUAAAAAGAAAUCCAAUGUAAUUUUAUUUCCAUGCUACUAUUCUAGGCAACUUUUAAGUAGUUAGUCAAUACUUAAUUAGCGGUAAUUUGAUAUGAUCUUCCUUCUAUCUAUUGUACUAAAACGCAAACUUUUAGAUGGUUAAAAGUUGUUAAGUGUUUAUUGUGAAUUUUUUGGUCAAAUUUUGGUUGAAACAACACUUCAUAUAUUUUAUAUAUGUGUGUGAUCUAACUGUUGGGUUGGCCAUGCCCAUGCUCUAGAUGAACAUUAUUUAUAAUGAGCCCUCAGUCCAUGUAAUAUUCCUCCAAUUAAAUAUUAUAAACAUGAUGAGAAAAGGGAAAAUAAUAAUAAUCCAAGACAAAAUUAAAUGAGGUUUAAUAAUUAACUAAGAUUAUAUAUUGGAAAUUCAAAUAUCAUCUAAACUCAAAUACAUCUCAUCCAAAUAAGAAAGUUCACUUUCAUCAUCAUCAUCAUCUUCCUCAUAACAAAACAUACUUCUUCCAAUAAUAUUAUUGUUUUCUUUUGCUUCAAAUACUCUACAUACAACCCAUAUUCCAAACUCCUGUUCAAAUCACAACACAUACAAUCACCUUAAUAAAUCAACCCAACAAUAAUGUUUAAAUUAAAUAACCUAACAAUUCGAACAAUCUAGACUAUCCAAUCUAAAUUGUAUAGACUAGGUUAGGGUAACCCAAAAUUUAGAAAAUGUAACCAACAACUCACUCUAAUCUAACUCGAAUUUUAAAGAUUUGGUUCGAUUGGGUUGAAGAUACAAUCAUUUUGGGUUGCCAAUUUGGUCCAAAAACUUUCCAUAAUCCAACUCAAUCAACCCAUUUACCUUCACCUAAUUAAUCUCUAUACACAAUUAUAAAAUAUACCAUCAUUCAACCACUACUACAUAGUUUUAUGUUUUUCUCUAUUUAAUUUAAUUAUGCUCUUAGGAAAAUACAUACACUAGUUAAGUUUUUUUUCUUGAUAUGGAUUGUAUAGUUAUAUAAUCUUGUAUCUAUUCAGUAUUUGAACUUUUGGAUUACAAUUUAUGUGAACCUCCAACUUUAUCAAAUAGGUUAUUGAUUUUCUUUCAACUAUUUUUAUAAUUUACAUACCUUAGUGAUCGUAAAACAUUAAUAAAGCUUGAAGUCUAGAUUUGUUAUUAUUUUUAAAAAAUUUAAUAUGUCGUGAACUUAUUAAAUACAAAAUCUAAAGUUUAAAGACACAUUUAAUAUUUAGGAACCCUUUUACCAAACUUUAAAAGUUUAAGAGAUAAAUUUGUAAAUGAAUCUGCAUCCAAAUUAUCUAAAUACUUUUUUGGUUUUUUAAGCUUUUAAAUAUGAUUUUCAUUUUGGUCCUUAAAAUUUCUACUUCCGUUCCUAAGCUAUAAAUUUAGUUUUUAUUUGGUGAUAAUACUUAUCUAAAUUAAAAUUUAAAAAGUUACAUUUUGCCAUUGUGUUUGAGUUUUUAUUUCCAUUUAGUCUAUAAGCUUUAUAGUUUUAUACUUUUACUUAAGAUAGUAAAAAGACCAUAGUACCAAAACUAGUAAUUUCACAUAUAUUUUUUUAUUUAAUAAAAAAUUAAGUACUAAGUGCCAACUAGAAUGAACAUAUACUUCAUUUAGCAAAAAGUUUGUACUACAAAUUUCAAGAUUAGAACUUUAUUGAUUAUUCACUCCACGUAUUAUUUUUCUAGAAAAACACCCGCCAUACCAAUUACUUUGUCUGAUUUUGAGGGGAAAACAUGGUGAUCGAAUCUAUAACGAAAUGAAAAAGUGUAAAAUGAAAGAAAACGAAAAACGAGAAACAAGGAAAAAUAGUGAAAAUGUAAGAUUCUUGAGUUGUUUCACUUACUGAUUUUGUUUGUGAUAGAUUAUUGUUGUUGUUUUGAGAUGGAUGAGUAUGAUCAUGAGUGUUCAAAAGGUAGUUGUAAAUGUGAUACUCUUGCAUGACCCAACUUGUUUGAAUGGGUGUUGGUGAUUCAUCAUCUUCUUCUUGAUCACCAACAAAGAAAAUAUGAUAUUUUUUGAUACCCACUUCAUCCCCAUUGGCACCGCAAAAGAUUGGUUCAUCCAUUAAAACAUCUUUCCAAUAUCCACUCUCUGUUGCUCUACUUUCUCCCACUCUGCUGAAAAAGUAAUGAAUGUCCCCAUUUGACAGUGUUUUACCUGUGAAACACAAUAAAAUUUUAACUUUAAAAUAUGUGUUUUGGUUGUUUCAAUUUGGUUCAUAUAGAUACAAAAUUUAUAAAUAUAGAACUUUUACUUUUCACUUAGUAUUAUUGCUCUCGAAUUUGAAACUUAAAUGAAAACUAAAACAAAAACUCAAGAAACAAAAACAUUUUAAGUUCUAAUGAAGUCUACAAGUUUUAGAGAAGAUAAAACAAACUAGAAUCAAUAUUUACUUUAAAGGAAAACGUAAAAUAACACACACAUAUAUAUAUAAAUUUUAAAAGCAAGAUCUUAUGCUCUUCCAAUGCUCCUCAUCAAUCUAACUUAAAAGCUAGCUUGACUUCUUGUACCUACUGCAUGCAUAUAUAGCUAGCUAUAUUGUUCUUCGCAUAAUAAGAGAAAAGAUAGAGGGGGGGAGAGAGAGAGAGAGAGAGAGAUUAUGUAUAUAUUAUAUUAUACCAUGGAAUUGCCAAGGGUUAUAGAGAUGAAGCUGAAGAUGAGGAAUAAUAAUGGAAUUGGAAAAACGAUGAUGAGAGUUAGCUUUGUGAUAGAGAAAGUGAAGCACAAGGUCUUCAUCAGUUGGGCAGAAUCUAAGACCAGGAGGCAACAGAUUUAAGCUAUUAUUUCCACUUAUCCCACCUUCAUCCAUAUUAACAAACUCAAUCAUAAUAAUAUAAAUAACAAAUACACAAUAAUAGUAUUCUUUUCUUUUUUCUUUUUGAGGAGGUAACUAGGUUAAGGCCUAGUAGGUUUUAAUGGAGAAACUUUGCACCACAUUUGGCCUAUUUAUAUAUAGAAAUUAAAUGCAUAUAUGAAAUUAAAUUAAAUAUAUAUUUAAGAAGAGGAUAAUAUUAGUGCAUAUAUGUGUUUUGUUUCAUUGAUUUAAUAAAGGCAUUUUUUCCCAACACCAUGCUUCCUUGACCCACACUUUUGGAAUGAAAACAAAAUCAAAAGUAACUUUUUCUUUUGCUUUGUUUUUAUUGUAAAAGAGACACAAAAAGAAAAAUAAAGAAAACAGUAACUACUACUUUAUAUGGUCUACUAACACCAACUUGUGAUCAUAAACUUUAGGUUUAGCUUACAUUUAUAUUUUAUUUAUUAGGUAUAUGGUGCUAUAAGAUAAUGUUUAAGUUAAUGAUGGAAAAUUAUUUUCAACCAAAAGAUGAAAUUUUCAGUACUUUUUUGGGGGAGAAGUGACAAAGCAAUAGCAAUUAAAUGUUGUAAUUUUGUUUUAUUUAUAGAAGCAAUGAAUUAAUGGUAUUUAGUGAGAGUGAAAUGGUGUGGAUUGCAAAUGGAUGAAAUGAUAAAUGGGUAAUCAAUCAAAUCUGAACAUAGUGGGUGUCGUUGUUUGAUGAACUACUGCCUAAAUCAUUUUGUUUAAUCUAAUGCAUAAUUACGUUUAAAUUAUUCCCUCUCUUUGAUUAUUGACUUCACCAAUAUUUCUACCAAACAAAAAUAGAAGAUGAGAUGUAUUAAUCCACUAAAUGUUCCUUUGGAUUUUAAAGUCUCUAUCUAGUACAAUAAUAAUGACAAUUAUAUAUGUAGAGAGAAGAGUCACACCCUAACAAUUUAAUCGUGAAAGAAAUUAUUAACAUUUUGGGAUAGAUUUGAAUAAUGUUAAAUAUAAUCAUCAAUAUUGAUCCAAAAACUUAAGUUAAUAAGUGCACGUUCUAACGUUCAACAUUAUUAAUAUGAAUUCCUUAGGGUUGCUUGCUCAUGAACAUUUUGUAGUAAAGGAUCUUUCCAAAGAAAAAAAGAUUUGAGAGGUGUGAGAAUUGAUUAUAUAUUAAAGAUGAAAGACAAUUAUCAUAUAUUAAAAAUACUUAGAAUAUUGAUUGAUUUACAUAGUAAAGACAAGAUUAUCAAGGUAUUAAAACACUAAUAUAUACCUUCAAAAUUCCCAAUAAAUCAUACCAAUAUACACAAACAAACAGGAUGAAACGUUAGUUGACUCACCAAUUGAUCAAAAACUACUUUAAGUUUUUUUUAAAAAAAUAAGUAACAACAAAAAUAAAUAUAAAAAUUAGUAUAUUAUUAGAUUAAAAUACUUUGUGAAAGGGAUCUAAUAAUAAGUGGUGACAAAUAUAUUAUUUUAUGGAGUGAUGUAGAAUCAAAUCUAAUGAAGCCCUUAAAAUUAAUAAACACUCACGAGAUCGAUCAUUCAUUGUUUAUAAAAAAUACAUCAUCAUUGUUUAUAUGAAAGCAACUUCUUUCUAUUAUUUUUUAUUCUCCCAUCUCAUCAUUUUGUUGGAUGGGAUCUUAACACAUAUAUACAACAGAUUCUGCCAAUUAGAAUAUCUAUAUAGUUCUUUGAAAACAAAACAUAUAAUUCUAAUCCAAUAUAGUUGACAGACAAGUUUUACCACUCCAACACAAUUUUUUAUAUUAGAAACUUUGGUAACACUCUACUCCCUGUUAUGAUCACUUUCCUACAUAGGAGAAUAAACAUGUAUUUAUGCGUGCCAUUUAGUUGCAUUCAAAUUUUCUCGUGAUAGUUGUUCUUUAUUUUAGAAAUUCAAUUGUCCUAUACAUUGAAAUAGUUUAUAGAAAUGAUGGGUUUCAAUAUGCCUUUGGUUUCAAAUCAUCCUAAUUAGAAACACUUUUAUAAGUUUGAAUGUGCUAAUUAAUUCUUGUUAAAUUCUCUUUUGUAAUUUUAGUUUUGAGAGGUGAGAUUAAAAGGUGUGAGUAAUACUAAAGUUUUGAGAGAGUGUUCUUGUAAUUGAGAUUGGAAAAAGAACUAUUUAUAUUAUGUGUGAUAUAUUAUAACAAUUUUCACACGGUAAACUUCUUUUUAGUUAGUAGGUCAUGGUUUUUUUCUAGGUUAAGAGAUUUUCGUGUAAGCCUUGUGUUUUCUAUUAUUUUCUUUUAAUUUCUAUAUCAUCUUUCUACUUAUUUUGUCAAAGAGAUGAUAGAUUUUUUUUUUCUUCUAACAAUUGGUAUUUCAUAGCCUUAAAUUCAUAGUUUCUUGAAUGUUUGAGUAUACGUUUUAUAGUUACCGCACUAUUUAUAUACUUUCAUGUCACUAUUUAUAUACUUUCAUGUUAGAAAAUCGUAAACACUAAACAUUAAACGUAUUAUGAAUAUUGUGAAUUGGUUCACGCUACUUAUAAAUUAUUUAGAAGUGCAGCAAAUAUACGUUAAUUAGGUUUAUAAGGUGAAUAUGAAAUUUGUCAGUAUAGAAAUGAACUCAACUAAGGAGAACAACUUCAACUUGUACUGAUCAUAAUUGUAUUAUGAAUUAUACAUGAGAAUAAAGAGUGGUAAGUGCAUUGGCCUAAUAUUAUUAUGCAUGCUUUGGUUUAUCAAAAGCCAUAUCAUUACGUUACAACUCAUUAGGCUAUUCAAAAUGAUUCCCAUUUAUUGUUUUAGUUGAGAGGUCAUAUCUAAAAGCAUUUUGAAGGAAUAAUCUCAACCACAAAAGCGAAGCCACUUUUGUGCUUAUCCCAAUACAAAAGGAAAGAAAAACACUUUGCAAUUGCAAUUGAGUUGCAACCCAACUCUUUUCCCAAUAUUAUCUUAUUUAUUUAUUAUUAUUAAUUAGUUAAGUUUGAAUGCAACUUGUUUGUAGUUGCAAACAAAUACUAUAUUAUUUGGCAUUUGUUAUAUAUUUGUUUUGAUAAUCAUUUAAACUAUUAGAACACAGUUCUAUACAACUAAUAAGUGAUGAUCACCAUUAGACAUUUAGGAGAGAUUUGUAGUGCGAAAGUUUAAGAACCUAUAGUUUAAAAAUGGUAAUGUAUAGGAAAUCUACAAUUCUGGAGAUAACUAGACAUAGUAAAAAAUUUAAGAAUCUCUAGUUCCUUUACAAUUAUCAUGAUUAUAUGUAUAUCUAAUCAUCCAAAUUAGUUCUAGAGUAGUACUUAGCUUCAAUGUAUAACUAGUAUUAGUCCACGUGAUAUAGCAUUAGAUCAAUAGUUUAGUGCUUUUUCAAAGAAAUUAAAAAUGGUUGAUAAGAGACGAAUAAAUUGAUAGAUAAUCAUAACUAUUAAUUUUAUUUCUUGCUCCUUUUUUCUAACCACCACUCACUUUAAAAAUUGACAUAUGUUUCUUUUUCGAUAUAGACAAGGCAUUAUUAGUUCAAUCUAUAUAUUUAAGUUAGCAUGGUUUAUUCUUAACUCAAUCAUAUAAACAUGGAAAUAAUCUUUCACCCUAUACUUACCUAGAAAUUUAAUUCAUAUUAGUACCUAUAAUAUAGGUAUUUCAAAAUCAAUAAAGGGAAGAAUAAUGAAUUGAAAAUCCCAUCAUUAGUUCAUCUUGUUUUCAAUCCUUACAUAAAAUUGACACAAUAUCCUAGCAUGCAUUUAAUCUUUCUUAUUGAUUUUAAAAGUCUAAUUUAUUUUAUAACAUUUAUAAAAACUUUUAGACUUAAUCAAUCAUUUUAUCAAUAUAUAACCUUAUAAAAACAUUCAAUUAAUAUGGAUUUUAAUUUAUUUAACUUUAAUUAAAUCAUAUUUAAUUUUAAUUUAAUUAAAUCAUAUUUAAUUAAAUUAAAUCAAACAAUAACUAAUUAAUUUGAUUAAAUCAUAUUUAAUCAAGAAUAACUUAAUUAAUUAAUCAUAUUAAUUAAUUUCCAUAUUAAUCAAUUAACAUGCAUACAAUACAAUAUAACAUUUAUAUUAUACAUUUUAAUGCAUGAACAUGUUAACCUAUGGUGGGAUUUUAAAUCUAUAUGACAUUCAAAAUGCACAUACAAAUUUAAAGUAAUUUAAUCAUACAUCACAUGCAUAAAUAAAAAAACACCCUAAAAUGGACUGAUUUUUGGCUCCUAAAUUAAGUUAAGUACUAAAUUAUUACAUAAUUAAUUUGGUGUAGUACAGAACCACUCCCAAAAACUUCGAACCGGCUGAAAAACUAACCGAAACCCCUUGAACCGGCCCAAAAACCAAAUUUAUUGGCUUGAACCGGCCCAAUUAACUAAACAGGCCCAGGCGCACACGGGUCGGGCGCAGGCGGGCGCGGCGGGACAGGCAGGAGGGCGCGCGGCGCAGGAGGGCGCACGGGCGCAUGCGGGCGCGCGGCACAGGCGGGCGCGCGGGCACAGGCGGGCGCAGGAGGGGCGCGCGGCGCGUGGGACGCAGGCGGGUCGCGCAUCGGGUCAUGACCGGGUUUUCGGGUCUGUGACCUUCUUUUCUUCAUUUUUUUUCAAUUCUCUCACCCGGUUGAACCCGUUACAGCCUAACUUCAACUCUAAUGACUUUUUUAGUUUUUAAAAAAUUACAAACACUUUGCAACAAUAAAAAUAAGCCAUUAACAAGGCUAAUUACAAUAAUUAGAACAAAAACACUUAAUCUAGAGCCAAAUUCAUAAUAUAUCCAUUUUAGUUCAAACCAAAAUUUAUCUAAUAAAUAUGAACCCACCACAUACAAUUGGGUAAAAAUGAAGCAUGCUCUGAAACCACAUGUACCAACUUGAUCACCACAAGUCCCAACUUGAUCACCACAAGUCCCAACUUGAUCAUUGAUGGUACUUGUGGUGAUCAAUGAUCAAGUUGGGACUUGUGGUGAUCAAGUUGGGACUUGUGGUGAUCAAGUUGGGACAUGUGGUUUCAAAGCAUGCUUCAUUUUUACCCAAUUGCAUGUGGUGGGUUCAUAUUUAUUAGAUAAAUUUUGGUUUGAAAGUAAUGGAGAUAAAAUGGGAUUGGAAGGUUUCUUUUUUCUUUUGUUGAGAUGAUGAAAAUGAUAAAAGAGGCAAAAGUUCUUCAACAUUUGAAAACACCUCUAUUUAUAACCUAAUUACAUGCAAAAAUGCAUGUAAUUCAUUUGCCAAAUCUCAACACCUAAUGUUCCACUAACAAUUAGUGGGCUAGGUGUCUAUAUCUCAUAUAGCCACAUAUCCCACUAAGAGUUAGUGGGAUUAUCCAACAAAAUGUUGGAUUUUUCCACUAACUUAGUCCAAGGGUAAAAUGGUCAUUAGAUAUUUCUAGUCAAAAGUCAAACUUUGACUUUUCUAAGUCAAAAGUCAAUAUUUUGACUUUUUACCAUUUUGUCCGUCUUGACUAAUUCCAACCUCCCGAGCAUGAAUCCGCAUUCAUUUUUCCAAAAUUCAAAUCACAUUUGAAUAUAAGGCCGGUCAAAGUUUGACCUUUUCAAAGUCAAAAGUCAACAUUUUGACUUUUUACUAUUUUUGACCAAUUCCAUCAAUUCUGAGCUUCUUAGUAUGAAUCCGCAUUCAUACUUAUAGUAUGUAAAACAUAAAGCUCUAUUUCUAAUUAGAAGACCGACGACUAUAUCACUAUAUUUGUCGGUUUCCCUUUCUUCUCCCAAUUCGAAACAAUUCGAGCUUAUUUCAUCACACUGUUCUAAGUUUAAUCCAUAUGAGCUAGCAGAGGAACCUAAUGGACCUAUAGAUCAUGGGCUCCAACGAUUCAAGAUUAACUAGCUAAACUCUUUUAAACCGAGUUAAUCAACAUUCGUUAACUAACGGGUCAUUCCACUAAAGUCCCGUAGUUGCACUCCCCUCACUAUAGAUAUAUUUGUGUCCAUUUGAUAAAACCAUAAUCAGUAAGUUAAUCCUUCACAGGUUGCUCGUAACCUUGGCUGGGUCAAAAUACCGUUUUACCCCCAAGAUUACAUCUUGCUCCUUAAGUCCCACUAAUCCACUAUUGAACAAUUGGUUUAAGGUUCAACCUAUAAACUUAAUCCCUCUCGGGCCAAUGAGAGGGUGGGGCCCCUUGUUCAAGACUUGGAUUCAGUGCUUAAGAGAGCAACCUAUCUACUAACCCUAAAGCGGGUAGGAGUGAAUUCCAUCUUGUACCCUAUGUUCCCAGCUAUCCACCGAUCUUACCCCUGAAAUGGGAGGCUUAUUGGGCCAACGCUGAUGAGCUGCCCUCACCUAUGCAGAUCUAAGGAUAAUCUCGUGUGAACAGGAGUUCAUAGUUAACUCAGGAUUAAGACUAAGUUACCUAGGUCAUCAAUAAUUGAGAUAGUCAGUUUUAAACAGUAAACGGUGUUAUAACGUAAAAAUGACUAAUUCAUGGUUCAGUCUUAUGUAAACAUUUUACAUAGGAUGCCCCCACUUUCAUGUCUCUACAUGAACGAUUAGGAUCACCUCGUUUGUACUACAAAGUGGGCCGCAUCCAUAGUUUCUCUAAAUAAGGCGCCCAACCUUUAUUUCAUAUACUAUAGACUAUUUAGGCUAUAUACUCGAACUUGAUCCACGUUUAUGUUUACACAUAAAGUUCAAGUUUAUUCAAAAAAUAGCCUUGGAACUUGAUUUAUUGGAUUUAAGAUUAUAAUAUUUAAUUUCUCAAUAACAACUUUAUUGAACAGAAUAUGAUUUACAAACUACGAGUUUUAGGACAAAAAAUUCCAACACUAAAGAGGUGCAAGAUAAAAAUAAAACAAUUAAACCCUUCAAAAACAAGUUUUGGGAUAAAAAAAAUGAGUAUGUGGCAUCACUGGUCACUUUUUGUGGAAAUUUUUUUCAAUAUUAUUCAAAAUGAGACUAUCUAGUAGUCAGAUUUGAAUUUUCGAUACUUUUCACAUUGUUCUAAAUUGGGUCGUUUCUUUGUAAGCUAUAGCAUGGACAUUUUUAGAACCGUUUUGGGUGCUACCAUAAUACAUCACUAAGGAGCACCAGUCUCGACCAUUAUGCAAUUUUCUGUGUCAUAGAGUAAUGCAAAAGAUAGGAUGUCGCACUUAUCAACCCACAAUCAUUGAGUUAAAGAGGUGCAAGAUAAAAACAAAAAAAAAAAUUAAAAUAAACGCUUCGAAGACAAGUUUUGGGACAAAAAUAAAACAUGAGUCUUAGAGCAUCAUGGAUCAGGUUUUAGUUUUUGUGGGGAAAAAAACUUUAAUAUUACUCAAAAUGACACAAUCUAGUAGUUAGAUGUGAAUUUUCGAAACUUUUUAACAUUGUUCUAAAUUGGGUCGAUCCCAAUUAAUUUUCUACUUUGUAACAAUGUUUCAUUUAUGUCAAUGGUUAGGUUGGAACAAGAUAUAAGCGUUAGGUAUGAAAACGGGUCAUGUUUGUUUAUUUUUCUAGAAAAAAAAAAUUGACAUAAUCCAACUCAAAUUUGGUUUCACAAAGAAGUUGUUCGACUUGACUCGGAAAAAAAUUAGAAACAAAGAGGAAGACCUUGAACAACCUAAAUUUGAUAGAAUUUAGGUAAUGAAAAUGAUUUGAAGAUCCAUGAAUGUGAAGGGCAGCUCAAUUAGAUAUGAAGUACAUAAUGAUCAUGUUGAUUAUUAUUGCAUGCAUUUAGGUUUGAAAACCAUGAAGUAUUGAGAAAACAUAAAAGUGAAAUUCAAAGUUUAAUUUGGAUGAUUGGAUGUUUUUGUUGAAUAUGAUUUGGGAUAGACACUAUUUUUCCACCUCUCUUAAUUCAUCAUUCGCCAAAUGGCUACACAAUUAUAUACAUCCAAUAUAUAAGAGAUAUAUAAUGAUGAACAAUGUUUCAACUUUAAUUAAAGUGAUGGAAUCAUGGAAAUAUAUGUAAGAACGAUGAGUUCGCAUGCCAAAUUGCCAUAAACCACUCCAUCUUCAUUGAUUUCAUAAGUUAUAUGAUAACCUUUUCUUUUUCUGUUUUUCAUUUUUUACUAUAGAUUUUUUAAAUUAUUAAUUUCAUUUUUCGUUUUCAAUUUUUGAAAAGAAUAAACAUUAGUAAGAUUGAAGAUAAACCCAAAUAAACAUUGGCCCAACAUAAGAUAAAACCCCAUUAUUAGCAAAAUGGGCUCAUAUGGGCUGUAAGCUUAUAAGGGUAACUACCCACGUGGGUCAUGUCUAUCGUGCGGUCAGCCGUCAACUCCAUAAUGGGUUGGAAUCUUUUUGGAUCUGGGCUAAUUGGGCCAAUUGGGUUUGCUCCAUUUAUCUUUAAAGCUAUGUUUGCUCCAUUUGAGUCUUGCACUCAUCCGUAUAACUCCAAAAGGCACUUGAGGCUUCUAAAGCUAGCUAGAUUUUCUCUAUCAAUAAACAAACUUGAAGACAAAGUUAGUAAAUUGGAUUAAGUGAUUUUAGUUUCAUUAGAGUGACCUAAAGUAAAAAAGUAGGAGAUGAGAUCUUCUGGUUUAGGGAUACACAGAGUCGUCCUAAGAUUGAUUUUGUGGAGUGAGUGGGCAUCCCAUUGGGUUUAACCAAACAACAUCUAGAGAUGUGAGAAAGGGUUGAAAUAGUUGGAUGGAAGAAAGAGAGAUGAAUGGAAAGGAAGUAAGUAUUCACGGGGUAACAAAAGUUUGAUAUUAUUAAAAAAGAAAAAGAAAACAAAGAGUUGAAAACAUGGAAAUGAGUUGUAAGGAAGGAGUGAUGGAAAAGUUUGGUUGGGUACCCAUUGACCACAAAACAAUGGUUCACGGGUGCCUUUACACUCUCUCACUACAUCCUUUUUUUAAUCACACAUUCCAACAAACACUAAGGCCAUUUUUCUUUUAACAAACAUAUACAAUUUACAUUAUUGAUAUCUUUUCAAUAUUUAACACAAUAUUAUAUAUAUAUAUAUAUGAAAAUUUGUAUGGAUGAAAAAUGAAUCAUAACGAAAUCAAUUUAUUUAACUAUUUUAAAAAAAACAUUAAUUUCAAAUAAAAACAAAGGAAAGAAAAUUGAUGUAUAAUUUCCACACAUAAAUAGUUUUAGGGCAAAGGACAAAAUAGAAAUAGGUAACUUUUGAGGACAACCAAGCAAUUUUUGAAAAAGUGAAGAAGAGCUGAAUCUUCUCUUUUGCUCUCAUCCACAAAAAAGAUUUGCCCAUUUUUUUCAUCUAUUUUUCCUUCAAUUUUAACCUUUUGUUUGAAUAGGAAUUAAUUCUCCACCACACAAAAUAAUGAAAAGCUCAUAAAUCCAAAUGCCUUUCUUACAAAAAUAUAAUAACACUAAUCACCCUUCAAUUUUUGUGGUCCACUAGUUUUGCAUGUAAAUCCAAAUCUUUGGACCCAUGGGGUGGAAAAAUUGAAUAAAUAUCUAAAUUUUUAACAUACUUUAUACUAAAUAUCAAUUCAUACAAAAAUAGAUUAUAAAUGUAAAGGAGUACUGUAUAGAAUAGAGAAACACCUCAAAUUAACUACAUAAUUUUAAUUAACAUUUAAGUUAACUAUACAUUAUUGUUUACUACAUGUAACAUUAAUACAUAAUAGAGAGAAAGUUUACCAAAAGAAUGUAAAUUGAACUUAUGGGUUCACUUGCAUGGUAAAAUUAGUAGUUACAAAGUAAAAAUGUUAUUAUUAUCAUCCCUAUUAAUAAACCUUUCUUGUUGGCUAAAAUAAUAACAAAGACAUGAUUGAGUAUUAAUUUAGGAAACCACAUAAUAAAAGUGCUAAGAAAUAGAAGGGAUAUGUUAUAUUACUUUAUAGUAUUGAAUCAAUUAUAAAGGUGAAUGACAAAAAAUAAUGGAGUUAGAUUAGAGUAAUGUAUGGUCAUAUGUACUUAAUAAUUAAUUAUUCUUUUACAUUAUGUCAUGUUUUUAUUUAUUUAUUUAUUUUUUUUUGGUCCAAUUCAUCUAAUUAUCAAUACAUUAAACUUAAUUAUUCAAGUUCCUUUUGACAUUAAAACUCAUCAUUUUAACUCUAUGAAAGGAUUUGGAUGAAAUGUGCAGUUGUAAGAUUCCUUACCAUAUCAAUUAGCUAUUUGUAUUUUUAAUUUGAUAGGAUGAUGUAAUUAUCAUUCUACUACAUAAUAAUACAAUUGAAUGAAGAUUGAUACAAACAAAAAGUAGUUGCAAAUAUAGCAAUCAAACCUAAACAAUAACUCAUCAUCUUUCAGUCUCUAAUAAGUUUGAAGUAGUAAGAAAAAAGAAAAGAAAUGAAAUGAAAAAACAAAACACUAAGAAUAAUUAUAUUUAAAGAAGAGAUAGAAUGCCAAUGUUGGCAUAUUGAGAGAGAGAGAGAGAAUGAGAAUGUGAAGAAAACAGUGUGUGUGUGUGUGUGUGUUUAAGGGCUUAGAAAGAAAGCAGUGAGCUGAGUUAGUAAGAAAAACCCAAAUCAGAAGAAGAUAACUGAAAUGAAGAAGCAAGAAGAAGAACAACAUCAAGAACAAGAAGGAUGCGACAUUGAAGCCAUAGGAAUCACCUACAAGAUUCAAAUCCAUAACUCCAAAUCCCCAUUUCUCAACUUCUUCUCCACCUCAAAACCCUCCCUCCGCCAUCGCCAUGUCCUUUCCGACGUCAAUUGCCAAGCCAAAUCCUCCCAAAUCCUUGCCAUUGUCGGCCCCAGCGGUGCCGGAAAAUCCACUCUCCUCCAAAUCCUCGCCGGCAAAACCACCCCUCACGGCGGCUCCCUCCUUCUCAACCACCUCGCCGUCGACCCUUCCUAUAUCAACCGAAUCUCCGGCUACGUCCCUCAAAAAGACUCCCUUUUCCCUCUCCUCACUGUCGAAGAAACUCUGACCUUCACCGCCCGCCUCCGUCUCUCCCUCCCUUCUGCCGUCCUCACCGCCAAGGUUACUUCUCUGAUCGACGAACUCGGUCUGACCCAUGUCGCCCGUUCCCGAGUCGGCGACGACCGAGUCCGUGGAAUCUCUGGCGGCGAGCGGCGGCGGGUUUCAAUCGGCGUGGAAGUGAUUCACGACCCCAAAGUUCUUAUUCUUGACGAACCCACUUCCGGUCUCGACAGCACUUCCGCUUUUCAGAUCAUCGACAUGCUGAAAACAACCAUGGCUGAAGCUCAGCGAAGAACCAUCAUUCUUAGCAUCCAUCAACCUGGAUUCAGAAUCGUGAAGCUUUUCGAUUCCAUUCUUCUUCUUUCCAAUGGCUCUGUUUUACACCAUGGCUCUGUCGAACAUCUCGGACUCAACCUCACUCUAAUCGGCCUUCAACCUCCUCUUCAUCUCAACAUUCUCGAAUUCGCCAUUGAAUCCAUCGAAACAAUCCAACAAACCCCAAAUCAAACCCAAUUGUUAAUCCCUCACUCCCAAUUAAAACCCCCUAAAUUCACCCUGCAACAGCUAUUUCAACAAUCCAAAGUCAUCGACGAGGACACCAUCAAAAUCGGAAUCCACAAAUCAAUCCCUCACCAUUUCGCCAAUUCCCCAUUCAAAGAAACGGCCAUCCUCAUGCACAGAUUCUCCAAGAACAUAAUCAGAACAAAGGAGCUUUUCGGUUGCAGAACAGUACAAAUGUUGGUAACAGGGCUUGUUCUUGGUUCAAUUUUCUACAAUCUCAAAUUCGAUUUAAUUGGUGCUGAAGAACGCGUGGGGUUAUUCGCCUUCAUUCUCACAUUCCUAUUAACAACCUCGAUCGAAGCCCUCCCAAUUUUCUUACAAGAAAGAGAGAUUCUAAUGAAAGAAACCUCCUCAGGUAGUUACAGAGUAUCCUCAUACGCCAUAGCCAACGGAUUAGUAUACCUUCCGUUUCUACUAAUCUUAGCAAUUCUGUUCUCAAUUCCAUUAUACUGGCUAGUGGGGCUUAACAGAAACAUAAUAGCGUUUCUUCAUUUCAUGCUGUUGAUAUGGCUGAUUCUAUACACAGCAAAUUCAGUGGUGGUUUGUUUCAGUGCAUUAGUGCCAAAUUUCAUAGUGGGGAACUCAGUGAUAUCGGGGGUAAUGGGUUCGUUCUUCCUGUUCUCGGGGUAUUUCAUAUCGAACCAGGAAAUACCAAAGUAUUGGAUAUUUAUGCAUUACAUAUCAGUGUUUAAGUACCCAUUUGAAGGGUUUUUGAUAAAUGAGUUUUCGAGAUCAGGGAAGUGUUUGGAAAUGAUGUUUGGGGAAUGUGUAGUGAGAGGAGAGGAUGUGCUGAAGGAAGAAGGAUACGGGGAAGAAAGUAGGUGGAGAAAUGUAAUGGUAAUGGUGGGGUUUGUUUUGAUCUAUAGAUUUGUUUCUUAUGUUAUUCUUAGAUGUCGAUGCUGCAGGAAAACUGGUUUUGUUUAACAGAAAUGAAGAAGAACGAAGAUGAAGAAGAUGAAGAAGAUUGAAGAUCGAAGAAGAAGAAUAAGGACAAAAAAAAAUCUCUCUCUUCACGAGUUUGGAUUUGAAAGAUGCUCUUAGUUCACGUGGUAGUUUUAAUUGUAGCCAAAGGUUAUACUCACACGUGUUUCUUUGUUCUUUCGGAUUUUUAUUUUUAUUUUUUGCCCUUUCUCUCUAACUAUAUAUAUAUAUAUAAUAUAUGUAAAAUUUUCUUUUAAAUUAACAAUUUGGUGUGUGGUUUGUUCAUCUAAGUUCAAAUUUAUUCAACCAAUUAUUUAGUAGAGAAAAGCUUAAAUGGUGAAAGUGAUUUUAAGUAAUCAAAAUUUCUUCUUACAAAAAUUGUGAAGUAUCAUGAAUAUUUCUUUUACAUAAUUCUUUUCUUCGGUAAAAGAUAAGUUCAGGUUAAACAAAACUAUUUUUUUAUUUAUUUGCCAAAUAUGAUAUUUAACAUAUUAUUACUUAUGAAACACAAAUAAAAGAAAGAAAGAAAAAAAGAUCUGUAAACAUAGAUUCAGAAAUCCAUAUUAAUAGAGAUAAAUCGUGUUAAUACCAUUAAAACAUACAUGCUUUGAAAGAACUAAUUUCAAAUGUUAGUUGUUUUAGGAAAAGAACAAGCAAAACCGAGAACAAUGACUAAGCAAACAAAACGUAGAUCCAAUCACAACUUUCAUAUAUGCGUGAGUAGUGUCACCUCAUUUCAACAACAAUCAUGGUUCAAGAUUUGAUUUAACUAACAAUUCUAUUCAUCACUCCCUAACUAUAGAAUCACCAAUUCAAUCAAUUAUAUCACCAUCAAAGAAAGAAAAAAAAUGGUAAAAAGUAUUUUUAUUUUUGAAUAAUUGAAAUGCUCCAUAGUUUUCAACCUUUAAUAGUUUAUUUAACAAAAAUUGUAAAACAUAGAAAUAUAUUCUAAAUAAAAUAAACGACAUAUAUCUCACAACUCCACCUUAACAAAUUUAACACUUGAAAAUAAACAUCAUGAAUGAAGACUAAAAAUCCAAACUUUCAAAAUUAAUAAAAAAAAUUCUCAAAUUUGAAUGAUUUUUAGAAAAGCUCUACAAAUAGUGUCUCUUCCCAAACUCGGUUAUUCCAAUUCUUUUUCUUUACCGUUAUUUUCCCCCUUCUUCAUCAAUAAUUUAUAAAACACUCUCCCAAAUUCCAUCCCCACCCCAUCCCUUCUUCUAUAAAACAAUGGACAAACACACGGUAACCUCCGAUGAACUUCUCGGAAUCAAAAUCUACACCGAAGAACACGCCAACGGCGGUGGGCGGAAAAGACGAGCAAUGGCAAAAGGAAUGCAAAAAACACGCUCAAAAACCUCAAUGCUAGCUAGUAAACUUCCUUCCAACCGGCACUCUCCUAACCUUCGAAAUGCUUCUGCCGUCGGUCUCCGGCAAGGGGGAGUGCACGCGGGUGAACACGAUGAUGAUAUAUAAACUUCCUCUUGGGCUUAUGCGCUUCUAUCCUGUUUCUUGUUUCACUUCACAGACAGUUUCAAAUUAGGCGUGGACGGGAAAGUUUAUUACGGGAUCGUGACGCGGAGAGGGCUGGCGGUGUUCAAGACGGGGUUGAGUGAGGUGGAAGUGGCGAAGGAGGAGAGGUUAUGGAAAGCUUUCCUUUGAUGGUGGGAAGCAUUUGUAGUGCUUUGUUUUUGGUGUUUCCUAAUACUAUAUAUUAUAUGGUAUUGGUUGUAUGGCUAAUUGACUCUAUUACCCCCCACCUUUUUUUUCUUUUUCUUAAUUGUUAGGAUUUUUUUAAUAAUUAUUAUUCUAAUUUUACUAAACUAUAAUCACCAAUUCAAUCAAUUAUAUCUAUAAAAGAAGAAAAAAAUUGGUUAUAUCUAUAAAAGAAGAAAAAAAAUUGGUUGUAUGGUCGUGUAUGUUGCCAUGGCCUUUGUUAAUUCUUCGAAACUAGAAAGAACAAAGAUCUCACAUAUUCAUACAGGUGGAAAAGAUAGAAACAUGCAUCGUUUUGAUUGAAACUUCUUUUAUUGAUAGAGGACGAAAAAACAAAUACAAGUAGUCAUACACCUAAAAAACGAUCAUCCAAAUCAAAAGAUAUGACCUAGAAACUAUCCAUUUCUCAUGUGUCGUCAAAUUUUGCCUAAUUGCUUCUUAGAGAUAGUUUGUUUUAGCUCCAUUUUCGUCCUUACACUCAAUUGUGCUUCUUUGAUGCUUAAAACCAGUAAAAUAAUCAAACAUAAUAAGAACCUAGAAUUAAGUGAAGCUAGAUAACAUAUUUAUGGUGCUAUCAUUUAUUUACCAUUUCACACUAUAAUUUUAUUAUUUCUAGUUUAUCUUACCAAGCCAGUGUCAAUUUUCUUUUCUCAUUCUCAAUGUUCUUUUAUUUGCUUCAAAAAUUCAAUUUGAAAAAAAAAAAUGUGAGAAAGUUGAGAAUUGAAGAGGAAAAAAAAGAACAAAAUUAGUUUUUUUUUUUGUUUAUUUGAUUAAUUAAUUCAAGAAUGUUGAUUAUGUUUGAGUAUUGACAUGAAAUAUUUAUCGAAAAAUUAGGAAGAAUUUUCAUCAUUUGUUGAAAUCAAAGUAAGGCUCUCUCUAAAAGUGCUUGUAAAAUUUGGUAACAAAAUAGGGUUUAAACCAAAAGAUUAUAAAAGAAGAAAAAAUAAUAAUUACUAAUAAUUAAUUAACAUUGUUGGGGCAGCCCAAAGAACGGUUGUGACCUCCAUUGCAGAAACAGAAGAACAAAGCUCAUUUGGUUGUAAAACCAAUAGAACGAAUCGAAAGCCUCCCUUGAGAGUUAUACAGUUGAAAAUGGAGCUUCAAGAUUUUGCGCCAAUUUUUGGUAAACCCACCAGAGUGGAGUGGGUAAACAGGGGUUCACUUUCUUUGCUCCAAUUUUUGUUCCAUGUUUAUUCUCCAAAUCCUUCGCACCUCAGAUUUCUUGUUACUGAUUUUCAUUCUAACACUUGGGAAUCCACCAAAUCAGCUUUCCAGCUUGAGGAUAUGGUGGGCAUCUUUGAUUUCUCCCUGUACGUCGUCUCUUUGUUGCAUCCUUCUUCUUUGAUUUCUAUUAAUAUGUUGUUCUUGCUUCUUUUUUUCCUCUUAGCAAAUGAUGAAAUGGGAUUGUUUUUUAGAAUUUGUUGGUGCGAAAAGCUCUACUAUUUUAUGUAAUCUUUGAUACAGAGAGAUGACAUUGGAAUUGGAGGGGCUUUUUCAGAGUUUGUUGAUUAUAUUGUUGCAUCUAUGAAAUUUGGAGAUGUAAGGCUUUGUAUGGAAGGACAAUCGGGGAAAGAUGGUAAUCUUCCUGAUAUGUAACUAAUUCAAAUUCUCUUUCCCAUUCAAUAUAUUGUGAAACUCACUCCUUUUUUUAUUAUUCUACAGGUGCAGCAUCUGUCAAACUAAUUGCUCAGAAAUCAAAGGGAAUGCCUGUAUUUUCCAUUUCUCUCACAAAACUUGUUGACUCUGCUGCUGCUGAAGCUAUGGCAACUAUGUCCUUGGGGCUUUUUAACUCAUUAAAAGAAAAGGAGUGUUCACUUAUGAAAGGUUUUCAUCGCUUAUCUAUAGACUGCCUAUAUUCUGUGCUAUAGUCAUCAAAUAUGUCGAUAUCGUUUGGUUAGAAAAAAAAAGAAUACAUUUUUAUAGUGUUUGAACAGAAGGAAAGAUGUUGGAGGUUCUUAUGAAAUAUAGUGAUCGGGUGGGCUCAGUGUGUGGAUCAUUCUAAUUAGAUGGAAGGAUAGGCAUCUUUAGUUUCUUUUCCCUUUUUGUUCCAUCUAGAUUUUGGUAUUUGGCUUUCAUUUCUCUCAAAUAACUUCUCACAGCAUUCUACAAAAUUGUUUGGUAUUUUGUUAAGGCCUUAGCCACAAUUUUAUUUAUCAACUAUGGGGAAGGAUUUGAGAGUUCCCCAAUCUCUCCACACUACUCUAAUGAGAGUCUAUACCAAAAUCAUUUAGCCAAAAAGAUACCCACCCCCAACAUUCACAAUACCUAAAUAGGCAAACUCUAAGAAAGCUAACAGAAUACUUGGCCCCACUUUAACAGUCAUACUCCUAAGGGCCCACCUUACGGGAAAUUACUAACUAACUCUCAAUCAUUCUUUCUUCUUCCCACUUUUAUUCCUAUGUGAAUACACCUUUACUAUGGGGGGUCUAUCAAAUUUGUAUCUGAACAUUGGCAUGUUGCAUUUUUUGUUAUGAAUUAUGCAUAUACAAAAUAAUUGUCUUAUAUUCAAAUGGAUAUAUUAGAAUGUGUCAACUCUCCGGUGUGUCUGUGAACUUUAAGAAUACCUAAUUUUGGUUCCAUUCGUAUGUGAUGGGCCAAUCCAGUCAAGCUGAUUUGAAGUAGGGAAAUAAACACAGUACUCUCAAUCAAAUCUGUCUUGGGAAGCUGUUUCUUUUUAGUCUCCCAUUGGUGUGGUUUUGUAGGACUGACUCAAAUAUCAUGUGCGAACUGCUUGAAAAUGUUUGUACUUGAAAAUUACUUUGUUUAGACUUUAGGGUACCGUGUUUAUUGAACAACAAACUACGUGAUGUACAUGGUUUUAGUUUUUCUUUCUUUAUUAUUAUUAUUUUUUUUUGGUAACUGUGAUAGCAUAGUUUGAUGUAAUAUUCAUUUAUAGGUUAAAUUUAGAACAAGAUUUUUCUCAGAAAUGUUCAAUUUUUUGCAUGCUUGCAUUGAAACUUAGCAUCUGUAGCAUUGACUUUUCUCCUAUACUGUUCUUUCAGAACAAGAGCACUCCCUUCAGUUGACAACCAUGAUAUCAACUGAAAAGGUAUAUCCAUCUUCGUCUUGCACCACUGUAAAUAAAUAUGAUACAUGGUGAUGGGCACUUUUAGUUUUAUACUUAUCGAUAGACUUCAUUAAUAAAUACAUUUAAUAAUACACAAUAUAACGAUAACAAGAUUUCUUCUGAUUUCUUCUCUUCCACAGCCUCUCUUAUAUAUCAGAACUCAAACAGUUUACUCUAGUCAAUACUGUUCCCUGUUAUUAGUCUGCAUAUGUUUUGUUAAUUUUUACUUCCUUUGAAACUUUAUUUAUUAAAUGUUAAUAAGAAAAAAGAUUAAAAAUUAAAAAUGAAGAACACGGAUGUUCUUUAUGUCUCACUUAUUCUUUCAUUAUAUAUGACCUCAUGUAACUUUGUUAGCCAUUUCUUGGUUGAAAAACAUUUUCCAUUACAAUACCAAUUGCUUCCUUAUCCCCUAUGGAUUCAACUCAUGGGUCUUUGAGUUUCUCUAUUUUUGUAUUAAACAUUUCUUAUUUGAGAUUAUACUUUUUGUUGAUGUCAGGAAAAGAACGAAAAUAUCCAAACUCAGCUCGGGCAAUAUAGAAAGAAACAGAAGUUACAAAAUAUGAAUGCCUCAAAUUCUCCUGGUAUGUUCCUAUAAUCAAUCCAUUUAAGGUAUUAUGAAAUUAUAUGUUAUGUACUAAAGGACUGAUCGAUUUUUUCCGUUCUUCACAGAUAAAUCUGGCGUACAUAAUAUUGGCUUGACAAAAGCCACCAAUCGUGUGGUGCCAGUACACCGGAGGUCGGUUUCUCAAAGUUACAUUCAUCACAUAAUUCAAUUGAUUUAUUCCCAAUACUAAUAGAUGUACUUAGCAUUGUAUUUGAACAGGGCGAAAGCUAGGGGUGCCCUUCUGCAAGACUCUGAAGAUGACAAUGGUAGGUAGAGAAGUUGAAUGUCUUGUAUCCAAUCUAGUUUUGUACAGAAUUUUGAUUUCUGAAAAGCUGCUCUAGCCAAUCACUCUCUUCCCUUUGAAUGGAGAAAAAAAAUCCCGUGGUAUUGAGUUCCUCAAUGGUUUGCUUAAAAAGGAACAGGAAAUCCUUGUUUAGGGUCAAGAGGCUAUCUCCCUGUCGUUAUCCCAAAGCUUUAAAACUUUUGUUUCUUCCAUGCAAGUUUUACUUUCUAGCACAUCCACGUUAAAUGAUCUCAUUUUUUCAUAUAUUUUCUUUUAAUCUACACUAAUAGAGAUGUUCCUUCCAUUUUUUUCCCAUUUUUUCUUACAGAAAAAGAGCGCUCCCUUCAGUCGACAUUCGAGGAAAAGGUAUAUUCAGUCUCCUGUCCCCUUUAUGAAUAAAGCACUUUGUCCUUUUAUAGACGGGUUCUUAUUGUCUUGAAAUACCUCAAAAUUAGUACAAGUAUGACCAUAGUCGUGGUGUAUUUUUGGUGCCUUCGGAGCGUAUUUUCAUCUUGCUCAUUAAUUGUUUGUAAAUUUUUUAAUCUACUUUUGAAUAUGUCAGGAAAAGAAAGAGGGGUUGCUAAAUACAGAUACCUUGGCCAUUGUAGACAAUCUUCAUAAGCCUCCUAGUAUGUUUUUUAUGGUUCCCUCUAAAAUUUAAGCUUAUUUGUUUUUAUUGAAAAGAGAGACAACGAGUUCACACCAAUUUACGUGGAAACUCGAGUACCGGGAGAAAAACCACGAUUGUUUGUUGUUAUUAUUUUCUAAUGAAUAAAACAAUAGGUACAGGGAGAAUAAAUAGAGUACACAAUGGAAUAAAAAAGGAAAAGAUUUAGGAAAAUAAGGAAUACAUUCCCAUAAUCUUUCCAUAAUUAUUCUAGGAUUCUAACAAGGAAAAAGCCUAGAAAAAAAGGAAAGAAUUCCAACACUCCCCCUCAAGUUGGGACGUAAAUAUCAAUGAGGCCCAACUUGCUAACGCAAAGUCGAAGUUUGGUCUGAGAAGCCCUUUGGUAAGAACAUCAGCAACCUGUUGACUCGAAGGGAUGUACGGAAUGCAUAUGCUCCCACUGUCAAGUUUUUCUUUGAUAAAAUGUCGAUCAAUCUCAACAUGUUUAGUUCUAUCAUGUUGAACAGGGUUGUUAGCAAUACUAAUAGCGGCUUUAUUAUCACAGAAAAGCUUCAAUGGUGUCUCACAUUCCUGAUGAAGAUCUGUCAAAACUUUCUGAAGCCAAAUUUCCUCACAUAUUCCUAAACUCAUAGCUCUGUAUUCAGCCUCAGCGCUGCUCCUGGCCACAACACUUUGCUUCUUACUCCUCCAAGUUACAAGAUUGCCCCAAACAAAGGUACAAUAACCAGAGGUAGAUUUUCUGUCAACAACAGAUCCUGCCCAAUCCGAGUCAGUGUAUGCCUCAAUGGUCUUUCUGUCUGUUUUUCUAAACAUCAGCCCUUUACCAGGUGUUGAUUUUAAGUAUCUCAAGAUUCUGUUGACAGCUUUCAUGUGUUCCUCAUUAGGGGUCUGCAUAAACUGGCUGACAACACUCACAGCAAAGGAAAUAUCAGGACGAGUAUGAGAUAAGUAAAUUAAUUUACCCACGAGGCGUUGAUACUGUUCUUUAUCAACUGGAACUUGAUCAUCAGAGUUUCCUAGUUUGCAGUUGAAUUCAAUAGGAGUGUCAGUGGGACGACAUCCUAACAUACCUGUCUCGGUUAACAAAUCAAGGAUGUAUUUUCUUUGAGAUACGGAGAUACCUUCUUUAGAUCUGGCCACCUCCAUUCCAAGGAAAUAUUUCAAAUUUCCCAAAUCCUUGAUUUCAAACUCAUCGCCCAUUCUCUGCUUUAGUUGACUGAUUUCUGCCUGAUCAUCUCCAGUCAAAACAAUGUCAUCCACAUAAACUAUUAGAACAGCAAUCUUUCCUGUUUUGGAAACCUUUGUAAAUAAAGUAUGAUCAGAGUGUCCCUGCCUGUACCCUUGGGACUUGACAAAGGUAGUGAAUCUGUCAAACCAUGCUCUGGGAGACUGUUUCAGACCAUAUAUAGAUUUCUGGAGUUUACACACAUGCUGACCAAACUGGGCUUCAAAUCCAGGCGGAGGGCUCAUGUAGACUUCCUCUACGAGGUCUCCAUUCAAAAAGGCAUUCUUAACAUCCAGCUGAUAUAAAGGCCAAUCUUUGUUCACAGCAACAGAUAACAGAACUCUAAUAGUAUUCAACUUAGCAACUGGAGAAAAAGUUUCUGAAUAGUCAAUACCAUAGGUUUGAGUAAAUCCCUUCGCAACUAACCUUGCCUUGUGUCUGUCAAGAGUACCAUCAGCUUUGUAUUUGAGAGAGAACACCCAUUUGCAUCCCACAGUUUUGUGUCCCUUAGGUAGAGUACAAAUGUCCCAAGUACUAUUCUUUUCAAGAGCUUUCAUCUCUUCCAUGACAGCAUUCUUCCAUUCAGGAUACUUUAAAGCAGUGUAGAUAUCUUUUGGUAUUAUGGUAGAGUCAAGGCUUGCUGUAAAAGCUCUGAACUGAGGAGAGAGACUAUCGUAGGAAACAUAAUUGCAAAUGGGGUGUUUAGUACAAGACCUGGUGCCUUUUCUCAGAGCAAUGGGAAUGUCAAGAGAGGAAUCAUACUCAUCUGAUUUUCCUGUAUGACCCUGUUCCGCUUCAUUAUUACGGGUUUCUAUUCUGACCUCAAUCUCAUCACCACUGUCCUUUUCUUCCACGUUUUCAAGAACAGCAACAUUAGACCUGUCAUUCUCACUUAUCAUAUUCUUAGUACAGGGUUCAGUAGGGUUUUCCAUACCUUGAUCUCGAGGAGGUUCAGAGUCUUGGACUGGAGCCGGCGGCUGACUAGUAGGGGAACCGACUUCCUUUUUGUGAUUCCUCCUGUAGUACGUUUUCCAGGGGACUUGGUUUGUGGGUAGGACUAUGGAAUGAGGAAUGAUGUUAGACACGACACUAGGAGUGGGUUCGAUGAAUUCAAAGGUGUUGUUAGACUCUUCACUCACACUCUCCCCCUGAAGAUGGCUAACGGGAAAGUAGGGUCGAUCCUCACAGAAAGUAACAUCCAUAGUGACAAAGUAUUUUCUGGAUGGUGGGUGAAAACAUUUAUAACCACGCUGGUGAGGGGGAUACCCAACAAACACACAUGCCUGAGCCCGAGGGGUAAAUUUGGUUUGAUUAGGGCCAAAAUUAUGGACAUAAGCGGUACACCCAAACACACGAAGAGGAACCUCAGAAACAUGACGAGUCGAUGGGUAGGACUCCUUAAGACAAUCUAAGGGAGUUUGAAGAUGAAGAAUACGAGAAGGCAUUCUAUUGAUUAAAUGAGCUGCUGUAAGAAUAGCAUCUCCCCACAAGUAUGAAGGAAGGGAAGUAGAAAGCAUAAGGGAACGGGCUACUUCCAGAAGGUGACGGUUUUUUCGCUCGGCCACUCCAUUUUGUUGAGGAGUGUAGGCGCACGAGUUUUGAUGAACAAUCCCCUUGGAAGCAAGAAAUUCACUAAGGUUAUGGUUUUGGAAUUCCCGACCAUUAUCACUCCGAAGAAUAGCAAUUUUUUGAUGGAAUUGUGUUUCAAUGGUGUGAUAGAAAUUUUGAAACAUAGAGGAAACCUCAGAUUUAUCAGUGAUAAGGUAGACCCAGGUAAGACGGGUAUGAUCAUCAAUGAAGGUUACGAACCACCGUUUUCCAGAUGAGGUUGUUAUCUUGGAUGGUCCCCAGACAUCACUAUGAACAAGAGUGAAGGGUUGGGUUGGUUUGUAUGGUUGUGAGGGAAAAGAGACUCGAUGUUGUUUGGCCUGAAUACACACAUCACAAGAUAAGGUAGUCAUCUCAACUUUAGAGAAGAGAUGUGGAAAUAAAUGUUUCAUAUAUUGAAAAUUAGGGUGGCCUAAACGAAAAUGCCACAACAUACAAUCUUGUUCAGAAGUAGUGAAAUAGGAAGAUAAGAGACUAGUCCUAGGAAUGCUACUAGAAGAGGUAUCGUCAUCAAGGAGGUAGAGUCCCCUACUAUGCCGGGCAGUGCCAAUCAUCCUCCCCGAGCUCAAGUCCUGAAAAGAGACAGAAUCAGGUAAGAAUAUUGCUUUGCAGUUUAACUCAUGAGUGAUCUUGCUUAUCGAAAGCAAAUUAUAAGAUAGUUUGGGCACAUGCAAAACAUUAUGUAAGGAGAGCCCUGCACAAGGAGAAAUCUUCCCCUUUCCAGCAAUGGGGGCCAAGGAGCCAUCUGCAAUUCUAAUUGUCUCGUUCCCAGCACAAGGAAUGUAAGAUACAAAAUGUUCAGAGGACCCAGUCAAAUGAUCUGUGGCACCAGAAUCCAGAAUCCAGGGGUUCUUCCCAUCAAUACUAACAAGACCGAAGGAAUGAGGUAUACCUGAUUGGACAAUGGCACCUAAAGUGGCAAGACUGAGAUCAGUUUGGUUUUUGUGUGGAUCGGAUUGUUGAGGAGGUUCAGCAGACUCACUCACAUACGCCCGCCCUGUGUUCUGUUUGUCGUUGGAAGGGCGUUUCUUACUUCCUGGGGGACGACCAUGUAACUUCCAACAUUGUUCUUUGGUAUGCCAUUGUUUUUUGCAAUGCUCGCAGACAGGAAUUGGUUUUCCAUUAUGCUUGUCACUGCUACUGUUAGAAGAUCUUGCACUAAAAGCAGCAGAGUCAAUAGUAGGGGUUGCGGAAAUAUUCAUAGCACUUGUGCGAUCUUCCUCGAGGCGGAUUUCAGAGCAAACUUCCAUCAGGGAGGGAAUCGGUCUUUGACCUAGUAUACGCCCUCGAACUACAUCAAACUUAGGAUUAAGACCAGCAAGAAAGUCAUAAAUCCUGUCAUUCUCUUCAAUUCUCGAGUACUGUACACCAUCAGUGGGAUCACGCCAGACUAGUUCUCUGCAUAGGUCCAUUUCUUGCCAUAUAAGAGAAAGCUUAUUGAAAAAGGAUGUGACAUCCAUGGUUCCUUGCUUGCAUUCAUGAACUUGCUUUCUCAGCGUGUAUAGACGAGAGGCAUUCUGACGUUUUGAGUAAAGUGUCUGGGCUGUGUCCCAAAUAUCCUUGGCUGUUGCAGCAAACAAUAACGGCUUGCCAAUUUGAGGUUCCAUACUAUUGAUCAAUAUGGAUCGAAGAAUAGAGUCUUCUGCCUUCCAAUAUCGUUCAUGUGGGUCGCCCGGUAGGGGGCGAGGUAUUUCCCUGUCAGAAAGCUAAAUUUUUGUCGUCCUUCGAGGACCAUCUUUACUGACUGAGACCAUGAGAAAUAGUUGUUGCCAUUCAACUUUUCUCCUGAAAGAUGAUACAUGGAAGACUGAGCCACCGUAUUAGUCACAUAAGGAGAGGAUACAUUAGGGAACGAGUUUACCGGAUUCUCAGAAUACAUCGGUAGAGUGGAUGUCGUCCCUAAGGUAGCCUCAAGUGCUGCUAUCUGUUGUCGAAGCCCUUCCAAUUGUUGAUGAACUAUUCCCGAGGAAGCUUGCACGUUACGGUUGGAAUAUGCCGAAGAUUCACCAACCUCAAAUGUUGAGUGAAUUUGAGAGUUUUUAACAUCGGGAUGGUAGCUAGGAUCAUUGGGUGGCUGGCCAUACAGAUUUGACGAGCAGAAGCGGUGGUAGCCGAUUGGAAUUAGAUGGCAGAACAUAAAUCGGGGCGUGGGGAGCAAUAUAGGCCGCGGACGAAGAAAAGGGUUGGACAGAUGGGAUGGUCGGCGCCGUCUGAGGAAGAAAACCAGGCGCGUGGUGGUCCGGUGACGGCGCGGACGACUGCGGUAAUGACGAAAAAUUAUUUUCGGACGUUUUCUGUAGCCGGCUUAAUAAUUCGUCCAUGGCAGCACUCAUCCGAGCAUCGGUGGCAGCAGCUACGGCAGCACUAAAAUUGAUGGUUGUCCCUUCUGUUUGAUUUUAAUCAGUGGUUUGGUUUUUUUGGGUUUCUAGGGUGUUUUCAUUGUCCCGCUCUGAUACCAUAUUGAAAAGAGAGACAACGAGUUCACACCAAUUUACGUGGAAACCCGAAUACCGGGAGAAAAACCACGGUUGUUUGUUGUUAUUAUUUUCUAAUGAAUAAAACAAUAGGUACAGGGGAGAAUAAAUAGAGUACACAAUGGAAUAAAAAAGGAAAAGAUUUAGGAAAAUAAGGAAUACAUUCCCAUAAUCUUUCCAUAAUUGUUCUAGGAUUCUAACAAGGAAAAAGCCUAGAAAAAAAGGAAAGAAUUCCAACAGUUUUCAAGGUUUAAGAACACUUUUGGUCCCUGAGCUUUCACGAAAGUAAUAAUGUAUUUCCUAAACUUUAAAAUGCAAAAAUUUUGUCUAUUUACUUUCAACUUUGUAUGGACUUUAGUCUCUAUGAUGAAAGUGUUCAUUCAAAUUAAGUGUUAAUUUAUAUUACAUAAUGGCUUAGUCUUCAUAGUUUAUAUGUGAAUUUGAUCAUCAAUGAGUUAUAAACCUACCCGGGUAAGAAACUUAACUCAAUCACAAUAAUAAUUUCCACCAUAGAGAUUUGGUUCUUACUAAUUGUAAAUUACAAGAACUAAAUUGUUACAUUUUAAAGUUAAGGAACUAAAUUGUUAAUACAUUUGCAAGAAUGAGGACUAUCUUUUUGUUACCAACUAAAGUUGAGGGUCAAAAUCGUUAGUUUUAUGCUAGUUUAGGGACGAAAAGUGUUUUUUAAUUAUUCGCUACACAGAACUCAUUAUUGAAUUAUCUUAUUCUUAACAGACAAAUCUGUUCAUGAUAUCGGCUCGACAAAAAUCACCAAGCAUGUCGUGCCAACACAUCACAGGUUGGUUUCUUGACUAAAUGAACCUAAUUUUGUUUGUUAUUUCCCCACGAACGAUGGUAAACAUACUGUAGCAUUGUACUUGAGCAGGGCAAGAACACGAGGUGCCCUUCUGCAAGAUAACGAAGAUGACGAUGGAAGGUAAAAAAAACAAGACAGUUUCAAAAUGUUGAGUCCUUGUGUUCAAAACUAGUGUUAGACAUGGAGUAGGUAAACAAAAUAAUAGAUAUGAUUGUGCAAUGCAGACAUUUCUUUGUUGUAUAUGAUUACGUAAUUCUCAUCUAACUUUGGCUUUCUGCUCAAUUUAGAUUCGAAAAUGUGUAAAUUUUCGAAUGACGAGUAGAUACAAAUUUGAAAUAUAUUGUGCAGCUUAAAACAAGUCACAGUGUGAGACUUUUCAUUAAUUUCUCAAACAAAUCAGCACUUGUUGACAACUUUAUAUUACCAUAUGAGUUAGCUUGAAAAAUAUUAUUAUUAUUAUUAGAAUGUAGAACACAUUUUAAUUUCCAAUAUAUCACGUUCUACAAUUUUUUAAACAUUUAUUUUCAAAACUCUUGACUUUUCUUUAGAAAAAACCAAAAGCUUUUGUUCCAAUAUAUCAGGUUGUAGUCUUUGGCCCUUGAAUUUUGUUAACAUUUAUUUUCAACUAUAUUGACUCUUUCUUUAGAAAAAAUAAAAAAAAAAUUCAAACGAUUACCGAUAAUAAAAAUAGAUAAAGAUAUAAUUUGAAAGAUAUUUAUGAAUAAGUUUAUGAGUAAAAAUAGAUAAAGAUAUAAUCUAAAAGUCGUAUCAUUAAUAAAAGUUUAUCAAAUCAAAAAAUUUAUUACGAAAAAAAAAUAUAGAUAAUCUAACGAAGAGGGAAUCCAAAAAUGAUGAUGUAAAAAGGAAUGAAAAAGCAUUAUCCCCACACUUUAGUUUCUCGUACAAUGAGAACCAUCCAAAUUGUGACAAAGACAGAAAUGAGAUAAGCACAAACCACCAUUAUUGCAAUACAACAAUCAACUAAACUCAAACUCACUCACUCACCUAGACACAACUUUUAAUGCACUCUUUUUGAAAAAGCUUUCCCAAACAAAAGAAGAAGAAAAAAAAACUUAUAUAAUGUGUUGUAUACAAAUUAUUUAUGUUUAUAUGCAGAGUUGCAUUCAUGAACCACUGAUAUAUAGUGAAACUGAUAUGAGUUGUAACUUUUGUAGUUCUAUUUCAUUGGUGCCUCAUAUGGAAGUGGUGGUGAUUGGUGGGUCAUAUACUCAUUAAGAACAAAAAUAAUAAUAAAUCAAAUGAAAAAGUUACUUUUUACUUUUUAGAAAAAGCGAUUGCAAAUGACUAAGUAAUGGAGACAUUGAUAGGUCUAUCAAUAUAUUUAUAUAUAUUAGGUGAGGCAAUUGGAUUAGAAUGAUAAAAUAGCAACUUUUAUCCAAUCAAUUACUUUAUAAAUGUUAAAAGAAGAACGAAGAAAGAGUUGUUUUUCAAAUUAAGCAACAUAAACUCUAUAUUUUGACAACAAAGUUAAAAAGAUAACUUUAUAUUUUUCUUCUUCUUUUAUAAAGAUAUGAUUGAACAUACACCAUUUCAGGAGGUGUCGGUGUCCACUAACAUUAUGCCCAUCCCAUGGUUGCUUUCAUUUCAAAAGGAUCAAAAUUUGGAUAUGAACUCUUACAUUUUGCCUUUUGGUGUUACCUAACUUUUCUUUAAUUAAAAUUAAAGUGUGUUUAGUUUGGAGCAAUUCUAUGUUCGGUGACUUUUUGAAAAUUUUCUUAGAAUGGAUGUGAGUGAAAACAAAACAUGCUGAAAUGACUCUAAUUGGUUCGUGGAACAACUUUCACUCUAAUAAGUCUUUAAGACAAGUAAGAAUGAUAUUGUCAAGUCGCAAGUAAUUAGACGUUACAGAUAUAUAGUUUUAUUUAUAUAUAAACACAUAUCUACAUUAGUGAGGGUCAUACGUUUUACAGAGUGUUUGUAUUUACUCAGUAACACUAAUAUCAUUUUCACACAUUUAAAUUUAUGCACGUUAUAGAUUUUAUUAGGUAUGUAUACAACUUAAUAACACUAGUAAGUAUAAUGUUUUGUUGGUGUAUAUACAUAUAUACAUAAUACGUCUACGUUUUUGCAGAUUAUUGAUUUAGUAACUUUCUUUGGGUGAAUUCAAUUUGUUUUUUUUUGUAACAAAACUAAAUUGUAAAGUCUAGUGUUAGAAAGUAUGGUUUCUCUCCUUCACCCUUUGUUUAAUAAUUUUAAUAAUUUUAAGUUUUAAUAGAUUGUGUUCAUAUUAAGACGAUGGCAUAAGCAGAGUUGGGUGUGGGGCACCGCCGUCACCACCACUACCAAUCUUCAACAAAUCACUUUAACGACGUAUGGGUAAAGGCAGUUAGUAUUAUUGGGUUAAUCAAUUUUAAAUACAUCUUGUACCACUAAAUUCUUUUACUUUAUUAUCUGUUUUUUACCAAACCAAAUCUUUCUUACACUACAAGAGUUUUUUUUCUUUUUCUUUUUUAUCUUUAUAAAAAAAAUACAAACCAUCAUAAUAAGAAAUUAAGAAAGAAGUAAAAGUUAAAAAUCAAAGGUUAAUCAAACGGAUCUUCAAUGUUGAGCUAUUACCAUUUAUAUCCACGAUUUGUUUAAAUAAUAUUUAAAUUCUAAGUCUUCAGUCAUUUUGUGAUUGAGUAAUUUUUAAUAUCAUCCUUCAGAAAAGAAAAGGAUUAGGAUUAGGAUUGUCCUAAUGGGAGUGGGAGUGGGAGUGGGGAGUAGAGAAUUUUGUGAGGAUGAAGAUGGGAUAGGGGGGCGGGGACGGGGAUCGGUAGUGGCAUCCCCGGCCCUCCUCGUCCCGUGGACAUCUCUACUCCUCAUCCCCGUCCCUCACCAUUAAUACCGCGCAUAAGGAGUGAUCCAUUUCCGAUAACGAAAAUCGUGCGUGGGGAAUGGUCCCAACGCUCGACGCGCAAGUGAAACCGUCGUGUGUCGAGUGAUGGAUCUUACAAGGUGGGUGGGAGGGGACGGGGGGGGGGGGGGGGGGGGGGGGGGGAAUAUUUAUAAUUUUAAUUAAGAAGGAUAGAUAUUGAAGAGAGGAAUGAGAAAUUAGAAUGAAAUCAAAACAUUAUAUGGUAGAUGAAACUUAACAUAAAUCAAAGCACAUAGAAACUAAAUAGAAGAGAGAGAGAGAGAGAGAGUUGGAUGAAUUCAUUUGUUGGUGGUGGAGGAUGAGUUGGCGGCGAUGCCGAAGUUGCCUGUGGAGAGAAAUUGGUUUUUGAGUGCGCUCCUCGACGCCGGAUAUUGAGAAGAAUAGGAAUAACCCGGAUAUGGAGUAGUACAUGGUUUCGAUUUCCGUUCGGCGCCGGACUUCAUUUUUUCUCCGUCUUUGUCUUUUGAUUUUUGCUUAUCGCUUCUCUCACUCAUCUUUUCCCCUUUCAUAAUAUUAUCUUCCACCUUCCAAAUAAUAAUAAUUGAGCUUGAGCCACCCACGCAUUUAUAACCUUAAUUUUACACGUGUCUUUUUCUUUUUACUCUUUUAAAUUUUCCAUAAAAUUACAUAUUCUAUAUACAGCUUACCUUCAUAAACCCUAUCUACUGUUGAAUCACUUUAUCUUUACUAUUUAGGAUAAUUUUCUAUAAUCAUAAAGGCAGAUGAAAUUUUAAUUUGGUUGCUAUGAUUCCAAAAAAAUAUAAU